UACAGAGGGGGCGAGCGUUGUUCGGAAUCACUGGGUGUAAAGGGUGCGUAGGCUGUCGGUUAAGUCUGAUGUGAAAUCCCUCGGCUCAACUGGGGAACUGCAUUGGAAACUAGCUGACUGGAGUACCGGAGAGGGAAGCGGAAUUCCUGGUGUAGCGGUGAAAUGCGCAGAUAUCAGGAGGAACACCAAUGGCGAAGGCAGCUCGCUGGGACGGUACUGACGCUGAGGCGCGAAAGCGUGGGGAGCAAACAGG
rnacentral:rRNA from 1 species